rnacentral:rRNA from 1 species
GUGGGGAAUAUUGCGCAAUGGGGGAAACCCUGACGCAGCGACGCCGUGUGAGGGAAGAAGGCUUUCGGGUCGUAAACCUCUGUCAGAAAGGAAGAACCUCCCAAGUCCGAAUAGGGCUUGGGACUGACGGUACUUUCAAAGGAAGCACCGGCUAACUCCGUGCCAGCAGCCGCGGUAAUACGGAGGGUGCAAGCGUUAAUCGGAAUCACUGGGCGUAAAGCGCGCGUAGGCCGCUUUGUAAGUCGGACGUGAAAGCCCUCGGCUCAACCGGGGAACUGCGUUCGAUACUGGCUGUCUUGAGUACGGGAGAGGUGAGUGGAACUCCGAGUGUAGAGGUGAAAUUCGUAGAUAUUCGGAAGAACACCAGUGGCGAAGGCGGCCCCCUGGACAAAGACUGACGCUCAGGUGCGAAAGCGUGGGGAGCAAACAGGAUUAGAUACCCUAGUAGUCC